UACGUAGGGCGCAAGCGUUAUCCGGAAUUAUUGGGCGUAAAGAGUUUGUAGGCGGUUUGUCGCGUCUGCCGUGAAAAUCCGGGGCUCAACCCCGGACUUGCGGUGGGUACGGGCAGACUAGAGUGUGGUAGGGGAGACUGGAAUUCCUGGUGUAGCGGUGAAAUGCGCAGAUAUCAGGAGGACCACCGAUGGCGAAGGCAGGUCUCUGGGCCACGACUGACGCUGAGAAGCGAAAGCGUGGGGAGCGAACAGG
rnacentral:rRNA from 1 species